UUGAAAAUGAAUUAUAAUAAAUUGACAAAUCUAUAGAAAUUAUAGAUGAGACGAUAGAGUUACUGACUCAUCAACUAGUCGGACGAAUCUUUGUCUUCCGAGGUUGUGACGAGUAACGGGGAAUUGGGGUUCGAUUCCGGAGAAGAAGCUAGAGUAUCGGCUUCUACUUCUAAGGAAGGCAGCAGGCGCGUAAAUUACUCAAUGUCAACUUGACGAUGUAGUGACAAGAAAUACCAGUGUAGGUCUCAAAGAGAACUGCUAUUGGAAUGAAAACAAUUUAAAAACCUUAACGAGGAACAAAUAGAGGACAAGUCUGGUGCCAGCACCCGCGGUAAUUCCAGCUCUAUUAGCGUAUGUUAAAAUUGUUGCGGUUAAAACGCUCGUAGUUGAUACUGGGUUAUACUGAAGGACACUGGACUGCAAAAUAGUCUCACUUUCCUUUAUCUGGGUGAACAUUUGUGGAAAGGUGUUAAUUUCGGUUAACCUCAUGAUUUGGGAAACUGCUUUUCCCUUUUUGAGGGGGGGUUGAUUUUGUCUUUGAUGAAUGAUAUUCUUCUUUAGGAAGUAAGAAAAGUAGGUUAAAGUACUGAUGAAAAUAAUACUUUGAACAAACUAGCGUGUUUCAGACAGGCAUUAUUGCCAUUGAAUAUAUUAGCAUGGGAUAUUAGAAUAUGACAACAGUUUCGUAUUGACUGGUCGAAAUUGACUGUAAUGAUUAAAAGGGCCGGUCGGUGCUACUUUUAUUCAGUGGUUAGAGGUGAAAUUCUAUGACCCGUUGAAGAAAAACUGAAGCGAAAGCAUAUAGCAAGCAUGUUUUCAUUAAUCAAGAACGAAAGUUGUGGGAUCGAAGAUGAUUAGAUACCGUCGUAGUCACAACAGUAAACUCUGUCGAUUUAGGGUUGCCAGGCGUUGAUUGGAUGACUUUGGCUGAAUUAUACGAGAAAUUAAAAUUACUAGACUCCGGGGGGAUUAUGGUCGCAAGGCUGAAACUUAAAAGAAUUGACGGAAGAGCACCACCAGGAGUGGAACCUGCGGCUUAAUUUGACCCAACUCGAGAAAUCUUACCAAAUCAGGACACAAAAAGGAUUGACAGGAUAGAGUACUUUCAUGAUAUUGUGAGUAGUGGUGCAUGGCCGUUCUUAGUUGGUGGUGUGAAUUGUCUGGUUUAUUCCGACAACGAACGAGACCUCUUAAAUUAAAUAGCACUAAUAUUGCAAAUGUUAUAGUGCUGGAUCAAGAUAAUUAGGCGUUCUUUUUCUUCUUUUCCUUUUUGGAAAGUUUGUCUAUUCAAUUGUUUUGGUUUGGUACACGAAGAAAUUUUUAGAAUUUAUUUUAGAAACCUUCUUCGGUUUGGAUA
rnacentral:rRNA from 1 species